ACUUUAUGCUUAGGGCAUAUAAAAAGAUUUUUAUUAAAUCUCUCCCACACUUCAUAUAGAAUCUCCUUAUUUAGUUGACAAAAAUUUGCGAUUUCGUCCUGCAAUU